CAACCAGAUCGCUCCUUCCAUGGGCGAAGGUUUUAUUGCGGAUUGCAACCACGAUUUAUCAGAUAUUCCACAACAGCAUCCUGUGCAUCUUUCUCCUGUUGUUCCCAAAACACCUUCAAGGAAAGGACGACUUCUUCAUUUGGCUGACCUGUGCUCCAUUACGCUCACUGUAGG